UUAUCAUCAAACCAAAUAAGGAAACAGAAAAAGAAAACAAAAGACAGUCUGCAUCCAAAACAUUAAUAUAUAUUUUAAGUCCUUCAAGAAAACUCGUACAACCAAAACCAGGAACAAUUAUCAUAACACUGAGCAGCAGCAGAACACACAACAACACACUAACUAUUGUACGUCCAUUAAGACCUCAGUGCACUCAACGAUAACCUAACUUUGUACUAUUAACACACACACACACACACACACACACACACACACACACACACACACACACACACUCUCUCAACUGCAUUCCCUCCCCAGAUCCUGCCGGCACAUAGAAACACAUCACUGGCGAGGAGUGUAAAUAAGAACAUCAAGUAAAGAAGAAAAAGAAGAGAUGCAAGAACUAGAAGAAGAAGAAGCAGAAGAGGAAGAAAUAGAAGAGGAGGAGGAAGUACAAGAAUGAGAGGAACAAGGAUGAAAAAUGUGUGAGUGUGACCUGACAGACCCUGGACACACACACACACACACACACACAGAUAGACUCCACAGCAACCACCAGACAAGUAAGCAAGCCUUUAUAUAUCACUUUCAACUGUGCUUUCAUCAUGACUUACAAGUUCACGAGUUUCACAAAGAGAGAUUAUAGGUUCAGAAGAGAUUAUCAAUGGGAGAGUUACAUGUAUAAGGCAAUGGGAAGGUAUAUUCAUUACUGAGUGUGUGCAUAUCCAGGCAAUAGGUUAACAUGACUGUGAGUGGGAAAUAUUCUUAGGGUGCUUUUGCAUAUAGAUGGAAAUAUUAGAAGUUCACACAAGCUUCUCAAUACAAACUUAAGCCCCUCAGUCACUGUUCUCAAGGCAAGGGAUUAAUAUGACUCUGUGACUGAUAUAUUCUUGUGAGGCAAAUGCUUACAGACAGGAAUAUUAGAAGGUCACACAAGUUUACCUUACAAAACAGCCCCUCAAUCACUGUUCUCAAGGCAAGGGAUUACAUUGACUCUGUGACUGUGAAAUAUUCUUAUGGUACUUUUGCAUAUAGACAGAAAUAUUAGGUCACAUGAGUUUACCAAUGCAAAACUUAAGCCCUUCAGUCACUGUUCUCAAGGCAAGGGAUUAAAAUGACUCUGUGACUGAUAUAUUCUUGUGAGGCAAAUGCUUACAGACAGGAAUAUUAGAAGGUCACACAAGUUUACCUUACAAAACGGCCCCUCAAUCACUGUUUCAAGGCAAGGGAUUACAUUGACUCUGUGACUGUGAAAUAUUCUUAUGGUACUUUUGCAUAUAGACAGAAAUAUUAGGUCACAUGAGUUUACCAAUGCAAAACUUAAGCCCCUCAGUCACUGUUCUCAAGGCAAGGGAUUAACAUGACUUUGUGACUGUUAUAUUCUUAUGGUGCAUUUGCCUAUAGACAGUAAUAUUAGGUCACACCAGGCUAUCAAUACAACACUUAGGCCCUCAGGUACACACACACACACACAUAGCACUUCCGUUUCCCUGUUUGCAAAGGCUCUAGUACAUUUCUUUCUCUCACUGAGGUGGAUGAGGAGAAAGAAGAGGAAGGGGAGGAAAAAACAGAAAGUGGAGUGUGCGCUGAGAUGGGAGAGAGGACGAAGAGAAGGAGGAGGAAAAAACAGAAGAGGGAGUAGGGGAAAGAGGAUGAAGAGAAGGAGGAAAAAACAGAACAGGGAGUAGGAAAGGAGAAAGAUAGAAGAGGAAGAAAGAUAAUAAAGAUGAAAGGAGAAGUAGAGAGAGAUUGGAAGAAGAUAAGAGGUGGAUGAGAGAUAUUUAAAGUUUAUAUCGGUCUACCAUUGUACAAGCCUUUAGUCACAAGGUAUUCAGGACCUCCAUAGCACCAUUUGAAAAGGCUUUAAUAUACAUGUCAUAGGGAGUUCCAUGCUUUCCUUCCUCUCUCUCUCUCUCCUAUUUUCUUCUUUUUCCUUCCUCUCUCUCUCUCCUAUUUUCUUCUUUUUCCUUCCUCUCUCUCUCCUAUUUUCUUCUUUUUCCUUCCUCUCUCUCUCUCCUAUUUUCUUCUUUUUCCUUCCUCUCUCUCUCCUAUUUUCUUCUUUUUCCUUCCUCUCUCUCUCUCCUAUUUUCUUCUUUUUCCUUCCUCUCUCUCUCUCCUAUUUUCUUCUUUUUCCUUCCUCUCUCUCUCUCCUAUUUUCUUCUUUUUCCUUCCUUCCUUUCUUUCUGUCAUUUAUUUACUUAUUUCCUCUUUCUUUCUCUCUUAUCUUCAUGUUAUCUCUCUCUCUCUCUCAGCUUCCCUUCAUCUGCAUCACCCAAUCCUUUACCAUGUCAGUGUGUGCCUGUCAACUCUCCCAAAGGCAUUAGAUUCCUUUAUAAAGAUUCUUGUGGUGUUCUUCAGGGUUAUUUUAAUGUCUUUUCUCAUAGAUUACAACAGAGAUUCACGGCACAUUCAUCCCCUAUACUAUAAUUUCCCUGGGACACAAUAAUUCAAGCACCCCUGGCCGAUCUCCCAGGGCGGCCAUGACCCUAGAGAAAGCCUGCUUCUUCAGGGUGGCCCGCUCCAGCUCCUUGGCCUUCUGGCGCGCCCGGCGGAUGACACACUCAGGCAGACCGGCCAACCGUGCCACGUUGAAC